rnacentral:sRNA from 1 species
GCCAGGCGUGGUGGUUCAUGCCUAUAAUCCCAUCGACUUAGGAGGCUGAGGCAGGAGGAUCACAAGUUCAAAGCCAGCCUUAGUGAGACUCUGUCUCAA